rnacentral:rRNA from 1 species
UACGGAGGAUGCAAGCGUUAUCCGGAUUUAUUGGGUUUAAAGGGUGCGUAGGCGGACUGGUAAGUCAGUGGUGAAAUGUCUCAGCUUAACUGAGGACCUGCCAUUGAUACUGCCAAUCUUGAGUAUAAUUGAUGUGGAUGGAAUGUGUCAUGUAGCGGUGAAAUGCUUAGAUAUGACACAGAACACCGAUAGCGAAGGCAGUCCACAAAACUAUAACUGACGCUGAGGCACGAAAGCGUGGGGAGCAAACAGG